rnacentral:rRNA from 1 species
CGAACGCUGGCGGCGUGCUUACCACAUGCACGUCGACCGGAAAGGCCCUUCGGGGUACUCGCGUGGCGAACGGGUGAGUAACACGUGGGUGAUCUGCCCUGCACUUUGGGAUAAGCCUGGGAAACUGGGUCUAAUACCGAAUAUGAUCAUCGGCUUCAUGGUCGGUGGUGGAACGCUUUUGCGGUGUGGGAUGGGCCCGCGGCCUAUCAGCUUGUUGGUGGGGUAAUGGCCUACCAAGGCGACGACGGGUAGCCGGCCUGAGAGGGUGACCGGCCACACUGGGACUGAGAUACGGCCCAGACUCCUACGGGAGGCAGCAGUGGGGAAUAUUGCACAAUGGGCGCAAGCCUGAUGCAGCGACGCCGCGUGAGGGAUGACGGCCUUCGGGUUGUAAACCUCUUUCAGCACAGACGAAGCGCAAGUGACGGUAGGUGCAGAAGAAGGACCGGCCAACUACGUG